GGGCGAUUAACUCUGUGGUCAGAGUGCCGUCUUCACACGGCGGAAGUCCCCAGUUCAAAUCUGGGAUCGCCCACCA
rnacentral:tRNA from 1 species